rnacentral:lncRNA from 1 species
CAUAUAAUUUUUGUGGAAAUUUCAAAUGUUUUAUUUAUUGCUCAGCUACAAAAAUACUGCCUAGUUAUGAUUGUUGAUGAUCGGUGCAGUAGUUUCCUAGAUCCGAGUUUUGGACGUAUACACAGCAGGCUCCAUUAUAAUAAGAUUCCUACUUCAGCCUCAGUAAAACUAAAAUGAUAUAAUCUUUCAAAACGCUUGGGUUUAUCAGUUAUUCCUCUAAAUGCGAAGUUGCGUUGACCAAAAACACACAAACCCUUUAAGGGUAGACGUUAGUUUACAGUAACUAUUCAUCUUAAUAAUGAUUAAUAAUUACAACUAACAAACUGGAAAAUUUAGCUUUAACUUAUACUGGAAAGCUAUCGAACUUUCUGUGCAACCCAUAGUUUUCAUGGCAAAAAGUUUGAUAAAAGAAAAAAAAUUAAGAUAAAUAUGGGGAAAGUUAUAAUGAUUAAUCGGUUAAAUAACGCUCAGGACAAUUGGCAGAUAUUUUUAACUAACAGUACCUGCUAGUCAAAUGCACCUACCUUGAUACUGUUUAAUCACACACACUCCAUGAACAUAAUUAUGUAAAAAUAACAAGAAAAUAUUAACAUUCGCCUGUAUACUAAUAACCAUUCCUUUGUUAAAUAAAACAAAUUAUGUUGGCUUAUCACGUGCCUACAACUGCUUCUUUGGAAAUCUUGUUGACAAACGUCGAAAUAAUAAUGAAAAAAAUAUAUAUAAAUUGUUAGUAUAGGGGACACGAAAACAACAAUUAUCAUUCCUAAUGUACAUGAUACUCUGGCUUGAUCUACAGAAGCUUUGCUCUGUCAAACCAUUACUUUAACAGACAGAUGGGCUCUCAGCGAGUGCUUCGGUGGCUGAUUGUCAGCCAUAACGCCUAACGCCCACCCCGUGACUUGCAGUUAUCACAUCGCUGCAGAACUGUAUUAGUGUAUUGGUAAAGCGACAUGCACGCGGUAACAUGCAAGUUCUACAGUCUCACGGGUCAGCUUGUUGACGUGUCACUCAACGAAAGCACAGGGGCAAAACCACUGGCUGAUUAAAUAUUCCAAGCGACUUUGAAUUUCUCUUGGAAACUUUUCUCAAAAUUAUGCCCAAAUUCAAAAUGAUCCUAACAAAAGUCAUUAUAACGUGUACCCAGUAAGGCAUACAUAUACAUCACGAUAUAACUUAUAAGUAUAUUAUGUAGUGGGUAUAGUGUGUUGUUAUAAACGACCUAAAUGCAACAAGUCACACGUUUUGUAUAUACAAGAAAAAGUCUACCUCACUUUAGUUUAUUGAACAUUCCAUUCGUGAAUCAAAGUUUAACAUUAAUAUCUUUACACAAUAACUUGUGAACUUAUGCUUUUCAACGACACAAUUAAGACAAUACCCAAAAAAACUUUGUAACAAAGUACAUUUUCUACGCCAAAAUUAACCCUAUACAUCUGCUUUGUUCAGAAAAAACAAAAAUCGGGGAAGUGUGCUUCUUCCUGAAAACAACUUUGGAAACCAAGUCCAGGACUUGUUUUCACACACAAACUGUAUUUAAGUUGAUAACUUGUGAAAUGGUUUGCCAGAUAAUGUGGGAAUUAAGAUAAUAUGGGUGUGGAAUGGCUAACUUUUACUUCUUUCUACGCUUAAACACUUGACUGUCUUCUUACAUCGACACCGACCUCUUUCCUUUCAAGUGUCUUGCAAGUUGUACCCCUAAUAACUUGGCCGCAAGCAACAACAGUGUAUUUUCCGUGAGUGUACACCGUGAGGUGGGGACAGCUCUUCUCUUAACGAGAUGGCGGCAUCUGCGGUAACCGGUUCUUUCAGUCCGAACAUCGAUUGGCAAUCUAGACGGCCACGCGAUCAUAUAAGCUACAAAUGUAGAGGAUAACCCGGGCCCCCCACGUCAGACCAAACCCAGGGACGCAGCCACGCGGCGCAGCUGGCACGUUCCCCGGCAGUCGCUGACGCAGUCAAGCCUCAGCUGCUGCCAAUGGCGCGGGAGACUUCCUAGCUGUACAGCCAGCCAAUGCCGCCGCCGAUAACGACCAACUCCACACGUUUGGACUCAGCGAAGCAUGGACUUUACAAGAUGACCAUAUGAAUGACGCAUGUCAAUAACAUCAACUUGAAUAUAGUGCCAGAUUUCCUUUUCAGCAAUUGACUUUAAUGGUGGGUGACAUGACAAUGGCUGGGCCUUUUCACCUGUGGAGCAUGUUUUCCAAAAGAAAGUCCGAACAAGGGAUCCCAUAAUAAUCCCAAUCCCUGUUUACUAUUUCCUUGACUUUUUUGUAACCUGAGUGGACAGUGUUCAGUCCAUGAAUAUGAGCAACAGCGUCAUAAAGAUUGUUUACAAGUGUGAAAUGAAGGAAGUUGCCUAAUAUGCUACCAUUCUAUUUGCUCUCAGGAAAGAAUGAACAAUUAACACAUUCAAGGAAACAAUAUAAUGUACCUUUCACAAUAUAAAAACUUUUGAUCUGAGUGUUCCAAUAUUAUAAUAAAAUGCCUACCAUUA